CCUACGGGUGGCAGCAGUGAGGAAUAUUGGUCAAUGGCCGGAAGUCUGAACCAGCCAAGCCGCGUGAAGGACGAAGGUGCCAAGCAUUGUAAACUUCUUUUGGCAAGGGACAAAAUCAGGCUCGAGAGCCUGACCGAGGGUACUUGAAGAAAAAGCAGCGGCUAACUCCGUGCGAGCCGCCGCGGUAAUACGGAGGAUGCGAGCGUAAUCCGGAUUUAUUGGGUUUAAAGGGUGCGUAGGCGGGCUGUUAAGUCAGCGGGAAAAGCCCGGGGCUCAACCCCGGCGAGCCGUUGAAACUGGCUGUCUUGAGAUGUCGCGAGGAAUGCGGAAUGCGCAGUGUAGCGGUGAAAUGCUUAGAUAUUGCGAAGAACUCCGAUUGCGAAGGCAGCAGACCGGCGGCGAUCUGACGCUGAGGCACGAAAGCGUGGGUAUCGAACAGGAUUAGAUACCCUUGUAGUC
rnacentral:rRNA from 1 species